CUUAUCAAUAUUAAUUUGAACCUGGUGGCUUUUUUCAGCAAUGAAGCUUUCUAAAAAUACCACCAGGAAAGUAAAAAAAAUGACUGUAUGUGGUCUAUAAUAGUAUAGAUUUGUAUUGUAUCGUAAAUAAUCCACACUCUGUACUGAUAAACAUUUCCCUCCCUCCUUCUUGAUUCCUAGAAUGCAUUAAUAACGUUUCUCCUUACUGUCUGUGAGGAAGCAAGUUGGAGCUGCCCAUUUAAGACCCCUUGCAAGGAUGUAUAGGGAGGGAAUGAAGCUCUUGCUUGAGAAAUGUGUUUAUCUCUGGUAGGAAAUACAAAUCUGCACUGAAGGGUAAGGUAAGUAGAGCUUAGUGGGCUAACUUUUAUUUUGGAUCUAUAUAGCCAAUGUUUGUGGAAUUUUGUAAAAGCUGAAUAUAUGAUCUUGACAGUGAAUAGGUUAUAUUAUUAUUAUUAUUAUGUUAUUUAUAUAGCGCCAACAAAUUCCGCAGUGCAUUACAGCUGGUGGACGAACAGACGUAGUUGUAACCAGACAAGUUGGACACACAGGAACAGAGGGGUUGAGGGCCCUGCUCAAUGAGUUUAUAUGCUGGAGGGAGUGGGGUAAAAUGACACAAAAAGGUAAGGAUAGUAUUAGACUAGUGACAGUUGCAGAAGAGGAAUCAGUCGGGAGCUAUUAACAGUUUAAUUGAUACGCUUUUAUGAAGAAGUGGGUUUUUAAUGAUUUUUUGAAGGAGUGGAGACUGGGUGAGCAUCUAACUGAGGAGGGAAGCGAGUUCCACAGGAACGGUGCAGCCCUCGAGAAAUCUUGACGGCGAGCAUCAGAGGUGGGAGUACGGACAGAAGAUAGAGAUAAGUCUUCAGCAGAUCGUAAGGGCCUAGUCGGGACAUACUUGUGUAUAAGGGAGGAUAGAUAGGUGGGAGCAGCAUUAUGUAUCAAUUUGAAAGCAAGAACCAGAAUUUUAAAUUGAGCUCUAUAUUUUAUAUGUAGGGACUGACAGAAGGGUGAGCCAUGAGAGGUGCGGGUGGACAGGAAGAUGAGCCUCACUGACGCAUUCAUUAUGGACUGUAACGGCGCAAGUUGGGAGCACGUAAGACCACUGAGAAGCGGAUUACAGUAGUCAAGGACAGUAGUCAAGGACAGUGGAAUGGACCAACACCUUAGUCGCAUCUGGCGUUAAGUAGGGGCGGAUGCGUGCAAUGUUUUUGAGAUGGAAAUGACAGGAUUUGGCAAUAGAUUGAACAUGAGGCUUGAAGGAGAGGUCGGAGUCAAAGAAAACACCUAGGCAGCGAGCCUGUAUGGUGGAGCUGAUGGUAGCACUGUUGACUUAGAGGGAGACAGACACAGGAGUAACAUUAUUAUAACAAUAAUAUUAUAUAUAUAAUUUGAUAUGUUCUAUUCUAGAAUAAUGACUGAUCGUCCUUCAUCGAGCGUUAACAUAAGCCUGUUACUAUGGAUGCAUUGUAAGAGAGUUGACCAUUUUUCUAUUUACUGCAAGGGCUACAUGUAAACUGCAUUUGAAAAAGUUAAAGGACCACUCUAGGCACCCAGACCACUUCAGCUUAAUGAAGUGGUCUGGGUGCCAGGUCCUUCUAGGGUUAACCCAUUUUUUUAUAAACAUAGCAGUUUCAGAGAAACUGCUAUGUUUAUGAAUGGGUUAAGCCUUCCCCCUAAUCCUCUAGUGGCUGUCUCAUUGACAGCCACUAGAGGCGCUUGCGUGCUUCUCACUGUGAUUUUCACAGUGAGAGCACGCAAGCGUCCAUAGGAAAGCAUUGUAAAUGCUUUCCUAUGCGACGGGCUGAAUGCGCGCGCAGCUCUUGCCGUGCGUGCGCAUUCAGCCCAGGAGGAGGAACGGAGGAGGAGAGAAGGAGGAGAGCUCCCCGCCCAGCGCUGGAAAAAGGUACGUUUUUACCCAUUUCCCCCUUCCAGAGCCAGGCGGGAGGGGGACCAUGAGGGUG